AUACUUAAAGCACCAGUUUCAACGGUUGUCGUGCGUCAUUUUUUUACAAAAAUCACCCUCAGUUUUUCUCGGGUUAACCCGCAGUCCCUCAUCCCACGCCUCCCUCCUUAUCUCAACCGCACGCAAAACCCUAGCCUCUCUCACGCCAUACCUCCUCUCUCGCUGAUCCCCGCGCACAGCCACCACGCCAUCAACCCAGGCUCCCUCGCCCCACACCUGCCGCAUUGAGCCAGCCCCGCGGGCCAGUAGCGCGUUGAGCUCCAAUAGAUACGGUGACACUGUUUGAGUCGCUGGUCGCCGCACUGCUAACUAAGAUGUGUGGGAGGAUUGUCGAGGAGAUUUGCAAGUUUGAUUAGAAGUGAGUAGAUUCUUCUCCCGCAGUCAUCGCCGCCGUCCCACGCAUCCCACAACUGCCACACAUCGCCUAGACCCACACGCCUCCCUUGCAAUCUCCCACAGCCUCUGCUCCAUCUCCACCUUCGCGCCCACCUGCUAGCCCUAGCGUCGCCUACUCCCUGCCUUCGCUCCUCCUCGAUCUAGGCGGCGCGGACGUGGCGCGGACGUGGGGAAGGACGACCCCGUGGACGUGUUGUGGCGGUGGAGGAGCCAUAGCCAACCCGGGAUCAUGCGCAGACCUGAGCGUUCAACGACGGUGGGGACACGCCGCUGCAGGUGGCGCCUGCCAUCUACGACGAGGCCAUGUUUCUUUAAUAGCUCCAUUGUCAUGGGCUACUACAAGAACCACAUCAAGACAAGCCUAAGGAUGUGACGAGGUGUUGUUGUUAUGGAUUCACAACUUUCUUUAUGACUCGAAGAUCUUUGGGAAUCAUUCAAGGAAUGGAGUGCUUAUGGGCCCGGUGUUCCACUGGUGCUGAAUGGCAGUGACUCUGUGAUCCAACUAUUUGCAAACACAUCGAGACCCACUUCAAGAAAUAAGUGCGUCCUAUUCUUUGUCACAAAUAAUCAUGGUGUCAAGAAAGUUUCCAUUGCACUUAACCUUAAGAAGGCCAACCUUUGUACCAAAAUGGGUUCCAUUUGUUUGUUUUUGUUAUGCUUCGGUUAGUUUGACCUUUGAUAUUUUCAUAUAUCAACAAAUAACUAAGUUUAAUAC